rnacentral:rRNA from 1 species
CGAAACCGGGUGACCUAUCCAUGGCCAGGUUGAAGCGAGGGUAAAACCUCGUGGAGGACCGAACCACGUUGCUGUUGAAAAAGCAUGGGAUGAGCUGUGGAUAGCGGAGAAAUUCCAAUCGAACCCGGAGAUAGCUGGUUCUCUCCGAAAUAGCUUUAGGGCUAGCGUCGAGUAUGAGUAGUGGAGGUAGAGCACUGAAUGGGCUAGGGGGCAUAGCGCUUACCGAACCUUAUCAAACUCCGAAUGCCACAUACUUUGAGCUCGGCAGUCAGACUACGAAUGAUAAGAUCCGUGGUCAAAAGGGAAACAGCCCAGAUCGUCAGCUAAGGUCCCAAAGUGUAAGUUAAGUGGGAAAGGAUGUGAGAUUUCUAAGACAACUAGGAUGUUGGCUUAGAAGCAGCCAUUCAUUAAAAGAGUGCGUAAUAGCUCACUAGUCGAGAGAUCUUGCGCCGAAAAUGUAACGGGGCUAAACUUACC